rnacentral:rRNA from 1 species
GUGCCUUUUGAAGAAUGAGCCUGCGAGUUAGUGCUCGGUGGCGAGGUUAACCCGUGUGGGGAAGCCGUAGCGAAAGCGAGUCCGAAUAGGGCGAAUGAGUCGCCGGGUCUAGACCCGAAGCGGAGUGAUCUACCCAUGGCCAGGUUGAAGCGCAGGUAAGACUGCGUGGAGGACCGAACCCACUUAGGUUGAAAACUGAGGGGAUGAGCUGUGGGUAGGGGUGAAAGGCCAAUCAAAACUCCGUGAUAGCUGGUUCUCCCCGAAAUGCAUUUAGGUGCAGCGUCACGUGUUUCUUACCGGAGGUAGAGCUACUGGAUAGCCGAUGGGCCCCACCAGGUUACUGACGUUAGCCAAAACUCCGAAUGCCGGUAAGUGAGAGCGUGGCAGUGAGACUGCGGGGGAUAAGCUCCGUAGUCGAGAGGGAAACAGCCCAGAUCACCAGCUUAGGG